CCUACGGGUGGCAGCAGUGGGGAAUAUUGCACAAUGGGGGAAACCCUGAUGCAGCGACGCCGCGUGAGUGAAGAAGUAUUUCGGUAUGUAAAGCUCUAUCAGCAGGGAAGAAAUAAAGUCCUUCGGACUUUGGACGGUACCUGACUAAGAAGCCCCGGCUAACUACGUGCCAGCAGCCGCGGUAAUACGUAGGGGGCAAGCGUUAUCCGGAUUUACUGGGGGUAAAGGGAGCGUAGACGGCAGCGCAAGUCUGGAGUGAAAUCCGCUGGCUUAACCAUGUAACUGCUUUGGAAACGGUGCAGCUGGAGGGAAGGAGAGGUAGGCGGAAUUCCUGGGGUAGCGGUGAAAUGCGUAGAUAUUAGGAGGAACACUAGUGGCGAAGGCGGCUUACUGGACUGUAACUGACGUUGAGGCUCGAAAGCGUGGGGAGCAAACAGGAUUAGAUACCCCAGUAGUC
rnacentral:rRNA from 1 species